rnacentral:rRNA from 1 species
ACGAACGCUGGCGGCGUGCCUAAUACAUGCAAGUAGAACGCUGAAGAGAGGAGCUUGCUCUUCUUGGAUGAGUUGCGAACGGGUGAGUAACGCGUAGGUAACCUGCCUUGUAGCGGGGGAUAACUAUUGGAAACGAUAGCUAAUACCGCAUAACAAUGGAUGACCCAUGUCAUUUAUUUGAAAGGGGCAAAUGCUCCACUACAAGAUGGACCUGCGUUGUAUUAGCUAGUAGGUGAGGUAACGGCUCACCUAGGCGACGAUACAUAGCCGACCUGAGAGGGUGAUCGGCCACACUGGGACUGAGACACGGCCCAGACUCCUACGGGAGGCAGCAGUAGGGAAUCUUCGGCAAUGGGGGCAACCCUGACCGAGCAACGCCGCGUGAGUGAAGAAGGUUUUCGGAUCGUAAAGCUCUGUUGUAAGUCAAGAACGAGUGUGAGAGUGGAAAGUUCACACUGUGACGGUAGCUUACCAGAAAGGGACGGCUAACUACGUGCCAGCAGCCGCGGUAAUACGUAGGUCCCGAGCGUUGUCCGGAUUUAUUGGGCGUAAAGCGAGCGCAGGCGGUUUGAUAAGUCUGAAGUUAAAGGCUGUGGCUCAACCAUAGUUCGCUUUGGAAACUGUCAAACUUGAGUGCAGAAGGGGAGAGUGGAAUUCCAUGUGUAGCGGUGAAAUGCGUAGAUAUAUGGAGGAACACCGGUGGCGAAAGCGGCUCUCUGGUCUGUAACUGACGCUGAGGCUCGAAAGCGUGGGGAGCGAACAGGAUUAGAUACCCUGGUAGUCCACGCCGUAAACGAUGAGUGCUAGGUGUUGGAUCCUUUCCGGGAUUCAGUGCCGCAGCUAACGCAUUAAGCACUCCGCCUGGGGAGUACGACCGCAAGGUUGAAACUCAAAGGAAUUGACGGGGGCCCGCACAAGCGGUGGAGCAUGUGGUUUAAUUCGAAGCAACGCGAAGAACCUUACCAGGUCUUGACAUCCCGAUGCUAUUUCUAGAGAUAGAAAGUUACUUCGGUACAUCGGUGACAGGUGGUGCAUGGUUGUCGUCAGCUCGUGUCGUGAGAUGUUGGGUUAAGUCCCGCAACGGGCGCAACCCCUAUUGUUAGUUGCCAUCAUUCAGUUGGGCACUCUAGCGAGACUGCCGGUAAUAAACCGGAGGAAGGUGGGGAUGACGUCAAAUCAUCAUGCCCCUUAUGACCUGGGCUACACACGUGCUACAAUGGUUGGUACAACGAGUUGCGAGUCGGUGACGGCAAGCUAAUCUCUUAAAGCCAAUCUCAGUUCGGAUUGUAGGCUGCAACUCGCCUACAUGAAGUCGGAAUCGCUAGUAAUCGCGGAUCAGCACGCCGCGGUGAAUACGUUCCCGGGCCUUGUACACACCGCCCGUCACACCACGAGAGUUUGUAACACCCGAAGUCGGUGAGGUAACCUUUUGGAGCCAGCCGCCUAAGGUGGGAUAGAUGAUUGGGGUG